UUAAAUUGAAGAGUUUGAUCAUGGCUCAGAUUGAACGCUGGCGGCAGGCCUAACACAUGCAAGUCGAACGGUAACAGGAAACAGCUUGCUGUUUCGCUGACGAGUGGC
rnacentral:rRNA from 3 species